rnacentral:rRNA from 1 species
GUGAGGUCCAAGCGUUGUUCGGAAUUACUGGGCGUAAAGCGCUCAUAGGCGGGUGAGCAAGUCGAUUGUGAAAGCCCUAGGCUAAACCUGGGAACUGCAGUCGAAACGGUUCAUCUUGAGUGCCUGAGAGGGUGGGGGAAUUCCUGGUGGAGUAGUGAAAUACGUAGAGAUCAGGAGGAACACCGGAGGCGAAGGCGCCUACCUGGCGGUGCACUGACGCUAAUUGAGCGAAAGCGCGGGGAUCAAACAGGAUUAGAUACCCUGGUAGUCCGCGCCAUAAACGAUGGAUGCUAGGUGUUCGGAGCAUUAACCCUUUGAGUACCAAAGCACACGCAUUAAGUAUCCCGCCUGGGGAGUACGGUCGCAAGGCUA